rnacentral:rRNA from 1 species
ACGAACGCUGGCGGCGUGCUUAACACAUGCAAGUCGAACGGAAAGGCCCUGCUUUUGUGGGGUGCUCGAGUGGCGAACGGGUGAGUAACACGUGAGUAACCUGCCCUUGACUUUGGGAUAACUUCAGGAAACUGGGGCUAAUACCGGAUAGGAGCUCCUGCUGCAUGGUGGGGGUUGGAAAGUUUCGGCGGUUGGGGAUGGACUCGCGGCUUAUCAGCUUGUUGGUGGGGUAGUGGCUUACAAAGGCUUUGACGGGUAGCCGGCCUGAGAGGGUGACCGGCCACAAUGGGACUGAGAUACGGCCCAGACUCCUACGGGAGGCAGCAGUGGGGAAUAUUGCACAAUGGGCGGAAGCCUGAUGCAGCAACGCCGCGUGCGGGAUGACGGCCUUCGGGUUGUAAACCGCUUUCGCCUGUGACGAAGCGUGAGUGACGGUAAUGGGUAAAGAAGCACCGGCUAACUACGUG